AUCGGCACAGCAGAGCAGCACUAAGAGGGGGCACGGGGGACAAAUUACUACUCCCCCACCUUUCACCCCACUGCUAGAGCCUUUACUCAUUGCAGCCACUGCUGCAGUGAACAUGAAAUUCUAGGUCCGAAAAUGGGGCGGGGCUAAACGGCACUGCACACACAGUGCCACCAUGCCAGCCAGCAACAGCGUGGGAGAGAGGAGGGGAGAAGAGCAGCACAGCCUUAACAUGUAAAAUUCUUCAGAAAGUCAUGGUCAGAUGAUCACAUGCGACCGCGUCACCCCACUGUGUCCCUCAGUUUUUGACAAUGAGUUCGGUUCUGCAGAUGUGCAUACUAUAAUAUUUAAAUGUUUAAAUAAAAAUACUAUUGUGAAGGUUUUUAAGUGAAAAA